GAUGAACGCUAGCGGCAGGCUUAAUACAUGCAAGUCGAGGGACAGCACAGGUAGCAAUACUGGGUGGUAACCGGCAAACGGGUGCGGAACACGUACACGACCUUCCUUUAAGUGGGGGAUAGCCCAGAGAAAUUUGGAUUAAUACCCCGUAAUAUAGUUGAAUGGCAUCAUUUGAUUAUUAUAGCUACGGCGCUUAAUGAUGGGUGUGCGGCUGAUUAGAUGGUUGGCGGGGUAACGGCCCACCAAGUCUACGAUCAGUAGCUGAUGUGAGAGCAUGAUCAGCCACACGGGCACUGAGACACGGGCCCGACUCCUACGGGAGGCAGCAGUAAGGAAUAUUGGUCAAUGGACGCAAGUCUGAACCAGCCAUGCCGCGUGAAGGAUUAAGGUCCUCUGGAUUGUAAACUUCCUUUAUUUGGGACGAAAAAGGGCCUUUCUAGGUCAACUGACGGUACCAGAUGAAUAAGCUCCGGCUAACUCCGUGCCAGCCGCCGCGGUAAUAC
rnacentral:rRNA from 1 species